UGGCCAAGCUUAAAGAGAAGAUUUUCUC
rnacentral:piRNA from 1 species